rnacentral:rRNA from 1 species
AAUGAACGCUGGCGGCAUGCCUAACACAUGCAAGUCGAACGAGAGCAUCGGGUCUACUGGCGCAUGCGUGCGUAACGCGGGGGAACCUGCCCUUAGGUUUGGAAUAACUCUCUGAAAGGGGUGCUAAUACCGGAUAAUGUCCGCGGACCAAAGAUUUAUCGCACUUGGAGGGGCCGGGGAUGGAUUAGCUUGGUGGGAGGGUAAAAGCCUAUCACGGCGUGGAUCCCUAGCCGGGUAGAGAGGAAGAGCAGCGACACUGGGACUAGGAAGCGGCCCAGAAUCCUACGGGAGGCGGCAGUGGGUGAUAUUGGACAAUGGGGGGAAGGCUGAUGGAGCUAGGCCGCGUGAGUGAUGAAGGCCGUAGGGUAGUAAAGCUCUUUUACCCGGGAUGAUAAUGACGGUACCGGGAGAAUAAGCACCGGCUAACUCCGUG